UGCCAUUAGGGUGGCCGCUGUUGGGCU
rnacentral:sRNA from 1 species